ACCCAGCUCCAGGAAAGGGAGGGACUCAAAAUACCCCAGCUGGCUCCUCUCUUGGAAGCUCAGGGACAUCUGUCAUCUUUUCGGGAAAAUGGUGGCAAAUGCUGUUUCAGGGGAUCAGUUUGUUUUGUCCUCACAGAACUCUUGUUUUUCUCUUGGAAAGCUUUGAGGCUGAACUGUGCAGAGCCUGGGGUCACAGCUUAGGUCAAAACUCAACAGACGUAUUAGAGGCAGGGAUUUAGUGCAAGGCAGCCUUUGGGGGCAGAGGGGCAGAAGCAGAGUGCUGAGGCUCCCUGCCUGUGCUGCCAAAGUGGCACUGGACUGAGCAUUUCAGGGUGUGCAAACACUGUCUGCCUGUGUCAGCACUGUCCCAAAUGUUACAAAUGCAGCUGAUAAUUGAUUCCUCAGAGGUGCUUGCUAUGUCAGCAAUAGCCAAGGAAUGGGAAAAUUAUAAUCCCAAUAUAUAGUAGAACAGACUAUUGAUAGCCUUGCUUUAACUGGGGCUAAAGCCACUGCUAAUUAGGCCAACAUCUUUGAAUGCAAGGUUUAAUACACUUUGUGUCUUCAUUGGGAAUCUCAAAAGGGCAUGUUCAGCGAUUGGGAAUGUCAAAGGCCCUUUAAAGAGCUUUGAAAAAAGUAGAUCUCCAGCAACAGGGAAUUUAGUUUUACAGAUCUUUUGAUCUCUUUUUCAAAUAAAGGAAUGAAACAUAAAUUAGGACUACUUUAGAAAAAGUAGAUGUUCUCUCUGAGAUUCAGUAGGAAGAGACAGCUGUUCCUUACCUUCAAUAGUCACCAAUGUCUUUAAUUGUAUUUAAACUCAAAUGAAUUCCCAUGUUAAAAUGGGUAUCAUAACCCUUUUCCUGCUUAGCACAAUUGGGGUUUGGGUACUUUCAGGAGCUGUUUUAAUAUUGAUGACUGCCAGUGGAUUAAAAGCAUAGAGAAAAUGAAGUCUCUUCCACCACAGAAUAAUAAAUGGCUACUAGAUAACAUUUUGCCUGAUCAGAAAAUAAGAAUGGUCUCCAGAGCUUUUCAGGAUUUGAUCUUUCAGCCAAAUCUGCCAUGCAAGGAGCCUGUUGGUAGUAAAUUUUUGUCUGUGUUUGACAUAGUUUGGUUCAGAAAAUGAGCAGAGAGCAGUUUUCAGAGACAAUAUGAGAAAAUACUUGUGUUUUGGAUGAAUUUCAGUCCCUUGUGUAGCAUUUUGCUCUCUCUAUGCCCCUACUUCAGUGGACAUUAUAAGAAAAAAUGCCAUUAAGAUUGGGAGGGGAAAUGGCAUUAAAAUGUGGAGAUGCUCAAAUGCCACAGCAAUGGGGUCUGGAUAAUUCUCUAAGGCACCCUGAGGUUUGAAACAGCUGCUUGUUGGAAGCCCCAGAAGCAUUCUGCCAAAGACACCAGCUAGUCACUGAUGUUUCCAAUCCAACUGUCAAGCAGCAGCCGUCUCUGGUAGGCUGGAAUUUUGAGGUGUGUUCUAAUCCUGCCCUUUGCAGUGUGCCACUGAGCAAAGGGAAGAGCCAGAUUAAACAUGUGGCACUUGACAUCAAAGUUAUGAAAAUGGAAUCAUCCCUUUUAUUAGAAAUCCCUCCAUUUCUUCUCUAUGGUGCAUUUCCAAAUCUUCAGUGUGGGUUUAGACAACUUCUUAAUGGAAAUAAAAAGCAACUGGACAUUUCAUUCAUUGCUCAUGCAGAAAGUGAUUGUGCAAUAAUUUAGUAAAGGUACAAAGUCUGCCACAGGGACAAGGCUGUGGUUGGAGAAAUUAGUCCUGAGGGGUUGGUGGUUCUGUUUCCAGGAUGAUCAGCUGCUUUGCCCGUUUCUGGAUCAUGGGGCUCUGUGCUAUUUUGCUGAUCUUAGCCAGAAGGCUUCCAGUUAGCAAGAGCAGAGGUAGAUCCCUGUUUGCAUUAGGCUGAUGGUUGAGAAGCUGUGUCUCUCUCCCGGCAGUGCUUGUGGAGUGGGUUUAUGCCAGGAGCCCUGAAGUGGUCCAGCACGACGCCCUGCCCGUGCUCUGGUCCUUCCUGGAGAACAAGGCGCUGCCGGUGCGAAGCGCCAAUGUCCGCACUGUGGCCACCAAGCUUGCCUCUGCCCUCCACAAGGUGAUGGGCACCAAGCUGAAGAGAUGUGCUGCCAGCCAGCCUCCACAUGUGCGGGAAAACCUCUCCAAAAUGUUGGGCUGGUGAAGGCAUGAUGUUCUCCAGAGAGAUGACAACGUGCUGAGUUGGACACCUCCAGAUCUGCCUUGUUAGCUGUGCCAAAAGAGACCAAAUGCUAAGGAACGGUGUGCACCUGCCCCCUCUCUCUCCAUCGCCCUUCCUAGUCAUGGCAUGGGGGGCCUGAAGCAACUCCAGACUGAGGAAAAGGUGAAGGCUGAUCAUGACUCAGCCUCACACAGAGAUCGGACUGGUUACAGUCUUACUGAGAAGGUUCCUCUGGACAAUUCCCAUGGUGCCUUACCCACAAAGUCCUUGCCUGCUGUACAGAAGAGCUCUCUUUUCUCCAAGUUCAGGAAGAAGCUGCUGCCUGUAUGAAUAUUGUUUGAAGAAUAGGAUUUAUAUGUUAGGUUUUGUAGUAGAUGUACAUAUGUUCUGAUCCUUAGAUGUAGUUUUGAAUAAAUGUGUUUUGAUUGUA